GGAGGGGAUCGGCAGGAGGCCAGCCCAUGUCUGCAGCAGGAGGUGGAGGUGCUCUUUCCCUCCAGCGGUCCCUCUGAGGAGGCUCCCAGCUGCAGUGGUGCAGGUCAGGAAAAUAACUCUCAGAAAAUGCCUCACCUGACAAAGGGGACACAGCCUGUAGUAACAGAGCAGCUCAGGACUCCACAUCCCAGGAGGGACCGGCCAGCCCCUGGGCCUCAGAGCUACCCUAGGAGGUCAUCCACUGACCCAGCUCUCAGGAGGAGAGCAUUAAGGCGCCGCGUCAGAGAGCUCCAGCCACCCCAGGCAGCCCACCUGCAAGUCAAGGUGCCCGCCAGCUGCCCACCUAGGACCGAGGCUCCAGGCCACUCGCCUCUUCCUGCUCUGGCCCCAGCCGUGGCUGACAAAUG